rnacentral:tRNA from 2 species
GCUAAAAUAGCAAAGUGGUAAAUGCUGUAGAUUUAGGUUCUAUUAUCAAAGGUUCAAAUCCUUUUUUUAGUU